rnacentral:rRNA from 1 species
AUAGCGUAUAUUAAAGUUGUUGCAGUUAAAAAGCUCGUAGUUGAAACUGGGCGCGGCUGGCCGGUCCGCCUCACGGCGUGCACUGGUCUCGGCCGUGCUUUCCUCUCGGACCGCCCGAGAGCGCUUCACUGUGCGCUCGGGACGGGCCGGGACUUUUACUUUGAAAAAAUUAGAGUGUUCAAAGCAGGCAUUUGCUCGGAUACAUUAGCAUGGAAUAAUUGAAUAGGACGUCGUUCCUAUUUUGUUGGUUUCUAGGACCGCCGUAAUGAUUAAUAGGGAUAGUUGGGGGCAUUAGUAUUCAAUUGUCAGAGGUGAAAUUCUUGGAUUUAUUGAAGACUAACUACUG